GACGGGGGGGCAAGUGUUCUUCGGAAUGACUGGGCGUAAAGGGCACGGUAGGCGGUGAAUCGGGUUGAAAGUCAAAGUCGCCAAAAACUGGCGGAAUGCUCUCGAAACCAAUUCACUUGAGUGAGACAGAGGAGAGUGGAAUUUCGUGUGUAGGGGUGAAAUCCGUAGAUCUAUGAAGGAACACCAAAAGCGAAGGCAGCUCUCUGGGUCCCUACCAACACUGGGGUGCGAAAGCAUGGGGGAGCGAACAGG
rnacentral:rRNA from 1 species